ACCCGCACAAGCGGUGGAUGAUGUGGAUUAAUUCGAUGCAACGCGAAAACCUUACCUACCCUUGACAUGCUAGGAACUUGCCAGAGAUGGCUUGGUGCCCGAAAGGGAACCUAGACACAGGUGCUGCAUGGCUGUCGUCAGCUCGUGUCGUGAGAUGUUGGGUUAAGUCCCGCAACGAGCGCAACCCUUGUCAUUAAUUGCCAUCAUUCAGUUGGGCACUUUAAUGAGACUGCCGGUGACAAACCGGAGGAAGGUGGGGAUGACGUCAAGUCCUCAUGGCCCUUAUGGGUAGGGCUUCACACGUAAUACAAUGGUCGGUACAGAGGGUUGCCAACCCGCGAGGGGGAGCCAAUCCCAGAAAACCGAUCGUAGUCCGGAUUGCAGUCUGCAACUCGACUGCAUGAAGUCGGAAUCGCUAGUAAUCGCGGAUCAGCAUGUCGCGGUGAAUACAUUCCCGGGCCUU
rnacentral:rRNA from 1 species